ACCGGGCACAGUGGCACGUGCCUGUAGUUCCAGCUAUUCAGGAGGCUGAGACUGGAGGAUCUCUUGAGUCCAGGAGUUCUGGGCUGUAGUGAGCUAUGCCGAGUAGGUGUCUGCACUAAGUUUGGUAUCAAUAUGGUGACCUCCCAGGAGCGGGGGACCACCAGGUUGCCUAAGGAGGGGUGAACUGGCCCAGGUUGGUAAUGGAGCAGGUCAAAACUCCCGUGCUGAUCAGUAGUGGGAUCACACCUGUGAAUAGCCACUGCACUCCAGCCUGGGCAACAUAGUGAGACCCUGUCUCU
rnacentral:SRP_RNA from 1 species